UUUCAACUUGAGAGUUUGAUCCUGGCUCAGAACGAACGCUGGCGGCAGGCCUAACACAUG
rnacentral:rRNA from 1 species